rnacentral:rRNA from 1 species
UGCAGAGGGUGCAAGCGUUAAUCGGAAUUACUGGGCGUAAAGCGCGCGUAGGCGGCUUGACAAGUCGAGUGUGAAAUCCCCGGGCUUAACCUGGGAGCUGCAUUCGAAACUAGAUAGCUAGAAUCUUGGAGAGGUCAGUGGAAUUCCGAGUGUAGAGGUGAAAUUCGUAGAUAUUCGGAAGAACACCAGUGGCGAAGGCGACUGACUGGACAAGUAUUGACGCUGAGGUACGAAAGCGUGGGGAGCAAACAGG